CACCCGCCACCAACGCCAGGAGCACGACAAACACAGCCAUGGUGCCGCGCCGGCCGCAGCAGUGCGGGGCGACACGGAGCAGGGCAGCGGGACACGAGCGACAACCGCAGCGUGAGGGGGUGACGCGCUCGGACUCUUCCAGACUCCCGGAGCCCGUCCCUUCGUCGCGUCCGCUGGGACAGCUGCCGCUUUCGCCACCAAUCACCAGCUACGUCGCGGCCUACGGAAGAGACGUAACUUGGGAAGCGACAGUCUGAUAGGCGGGGCUUAAAGUAAUGGAUGGAGAGUUUUGCCAACGGUAGGCAGCGAUUGAAAAGCCGGGCAGUCCCGCCCCCCGGUCGGUGAUGACUGGUCACCAGAUGGGGCGUAGGGCGGUUGGUUAGAGUGGGUGAUGGAGCCAGUCGAGAAGUCCCGGAGCCCACGGGUUUGAGGCUGCCUCCGGAGUGCAGACCUUUCUGCCAGUCUCGAGCGACGGUCUCCAACCCGGAUGUCUGUCUUUCCUGGUCGUGUGCCUCCGCCCGGCUACGGACGCCAGCUGUGAAAGGCGGGGCUGGUUGGGAUUUCGCUCUAACAGUAUGAUUCCACCCACGGCAAGUUCCACAGCACCAUCAAGGCUGAGAAUGGGAAGUUUGUCAUCAAUAGAAAUCCCAUCACCAUCUUCCCAGGAGCGAGGUCCCACCAAAGUCAAAUGGGAUGAUGCUGGUGCUGAUGAUGUUGUGGAGUCCACCAGUGUCUUCACUACCAUGGAGAAGGCUGGGGCUUACUUAGAGGGGGGAGACAAAAGAGUCACCAUUUCUGCCCCUUCUGCUGACUUGUGAUGGGCAAGAACCCUGAAAAGUAUGGAAACAGCCCUGAGAAGGUCAGCAAUGCUUCCUGCACCACCAACUGCUUCAUCCCCGUGGCCAAGGUCAUUCAUGACAACUUUGGUAUCAUGGAAGGACUCGUGACCACCGUCCAAGCCAUCACUGCCACUCAGAAGACCAUGGAUGGCCCCUUUGGGAAACUGUGGUAUGACGGCCACGGGGCUCUUCAGAACAUCAUCCCUGCAUCUACUGGCACUGUCAAGGCUGUGGGUAAGCUCAGCCUCUAGCUGAAUGGGAAACUCACUGGCAUGUCCUUUCCUGUCCCCAGCACCAAUGCAUCAGUCAUGGACCUGACAUGUGGUCUGGAGAAACCUGCCAAAUGUGAUGACAUCAAGAAGGUGGUGAAGCAGGUGUCAGAGGAUCCCCUCAAGGGCAUCCUGGGCUACACUGAGCACCACGUUGUCUCCUCUGACUUUAACAGGGACACUCACUCUUCUGCCUUUGCUGCUGGGGCUGGCAUUGCCCUCGACGACCAGUUUGUCAAGCUCAUUUCCUGGUAUGACAAUAAAUUUGGCUGUAGCCACAGGGUGGUGGACCUCAUGGUCCCCAUGGCCUCCAAGGAGUAAGACCACUGGACCACCAGCCCCAGCGAGAGCACGAGAGGAAGAGAGGCCCUCAGCUGCUGGGAAGUCCCUGCCGCACUCAGUCCUCACCACACUGAGAAUCUCCCCUCCCCAGUGUUUCCACCCAGACUCCCGGAAAUGGAGGGGCCUAGGGAGCCCCACCUUGUCACAUACCAUCAACUAAGUCCCCUGUACUCAGGCCCAAAAUAAUAUUACGUUACCAUUAUUUGCUUGCAUCUACUCCCC